rnacentral:rRNA from 1 species
UGACCACAUCACAUUGAAACACCAGUUCUCAUAUGAUCACCAAAGUUAAGCAAUGUUGAGCCUGGUCAGUACCUAGAUAGGUGACUGGUUGCAAAUACCAG